UACGUAGGGUCCGAGCGUUGUCCGGAAUUACUGGGCGUAAAGAGCUCGUAGGUGGUUUGUCGCGUUGUUCGUGAAAACUCACAGCUCAACUGUGGGCGUGCGGGCGAUACGGGCAGACUAGAGUACUGCAGGGGAGACUGGAAUUCCUGGUGUAGCGGUGGAAUGCGCAGAUAUCAGGAGGAGCACCGGUGGCGAAGGCGGGUCUCUGGGCAGUAACUGACGCUGAGGAGCGAAAGCGUGGGGAGCGAACAGG
rnacentral:rRNA from 1 species